AACGCUGGGCAGAGGAAUUCCUGUGGAAAUCGUAUUCCUUGUGUGGGGAGCCUGUGGAACCAAGUUCCUCUGAGUGUGUUGCUGAAGAACAUCAGGAACCUUGAGAAGAUGUGUCAGCUGUGCAGAAGACAGCAAAGGUUCUUCUCAGUUAAAAACACAACUCAUAAAACAAGACAACUACCAGGUUCCCUUCCUUCAGGAGGGUGGGAGCCUCCAGCCCCGGGAGGCACCGAGCUCCCCUGGACACGGAAAGGAAACCACAGGUAAAAAAGUGUCAGCAUUGCCUAGAGAAGAUGCUGAGAGGAAAAAUGAGCUGGAAGGCACAUCUGCAGCCCCAGAUCACAUUUUCAUGUUUGAGU